CCUGGCGACGAGUGGCGAACGGGUGAGUAAUGUAUCGGAACGUGCCCAGUAGUGGGGGAUAGCCCGGCGAAAGCCGGAUUAAUACCGCAUGAGACCUGAGGGUGAAAGCGGGGGAUCGCAAGACCUCGCGCUACUGGAGCGGCCGAUAUCAGAUUAGGUAGUUGGUGGGGUAAAGGCCUACCAAGCCGACGAUCUGUAGCUGGUCUGAGAGGACGACCAGCCACACUGGGACUGAGACACGGCCCAG
rnacentral:rRNA from 1 species